rnacentral:rRNA from 1 species
UACAUGCAAGUCGAGCGAACAGACGAGGAGCUUGCUCCUCUGACGUUAGCGGCGGACGGGUGAGUAACACGUGGAUAACCUACCUAUAAGACUGGGAUAACUUCGGGAAACCGGAGCUAAUACCGGAUAAUAUAUUGAACCGCAUGGUUCAAUAGUGAAAGACGGUUUUGCUGUCACUUAUAGAUGGAUCCGCGCCGCAUUAGCUAGUUGGUAAGGUAACGGCUUACCAAGGCAACGAUGCGUAGCCGACCUGAGAGGGUGAUCGGCCACACUGGAACUGAGACACGGUCCAGACUCCUACGGGAGGCAGCAGUAGGGAAUCUUCCGCAAUGGGCGAAAGCCUGACGGAGCAACGCCGCGUGAGUGAUGAAGGUCUUCGGAUCGUAAAACUCUGUUAUUAGGGAAGAACAAAUGUGUAAGUAACUAUGCACGUCUUGACGGUACCUAAUCAGAAAGCCACGGCUAACUACGUGCCAGCAGCCGCGGUAAUACGUAGGUGGCAAGCGUUAUCCGGAAUUAUUGGGCGUAAAGCGCGCGUAGGCGGUUUUUUAA